UGGCGGCGAAGCUGUAGAUAGCCUGGUUAAAUGAUGGAAUGAAUUGCCCAUCCUGAAACUAAAACCGGAGCAAAAACGGAACCUUUAACCACACUUACCUUUCAGUAAAAUUUGGGUUCCUAUUUGAAAUUAUUUGAGGGGAAAAAAUGACUUCACAGUGGCUGAAAUAUUCUGGAAUGGAGACCGCGUGCGAUUUGAUAUCAGAUCAACUGUUAAAGGUGGGGUAACAAGUACAAUGUAUAGACUCAAGAAAUAAGUGGACUGAAAUAUUCAGCAAUGUUUUUGAUGGUGGUACUUUCUAAUUCAGGCUGGCACUGUUUUCUUUUAUGACCGAAGGAAAAAAGGAAUGUUUAGUGACGUCAACUACAAUUGAAAGUUAAAGAUGACAUGUGGAUGUUCUGCUGACAGUAUUAUGAAGAUGGUUUUACACCAAGGAAGCCCAAACAAGUCCUGAACACAGACGUUUGGAGAAAAAGGAAAGGAAUACGCUGUUUGUCACAACAGGGAAAGAUUGCAAGGAAACAAGAAAGAAAGGCCGAGAGAGUAUUAAUGUGGAAAGGAAGGAAACAUUGAAGGAUAUUUCACUUUCUCGACUUGUACUUUACGUUGAUAGCUUUGAUGUUGUUGUUUCUGGGACUCUAAUAUUGUAAUAAUACCGUGAAGCUGGUUAGUAGCUAAUUCUUACUAUCCGAGCUUCUGAAUAUGACAAAAUACAGGGAUGACUAGGGAUGAAGGAGACAAAUUGUACCCGUCCUCCAUCCCCCACCACACCCACCACUAUUUACCAGUUUUAAUAAGUAUUUGAAAAGUUCUCUACCUUGUGGUAAUAGCAUUCAUUUCAAACG